AGAGUUUGAUCAUGGCUCAGAACGAACGCUGGCGGCGUGCUUAACACAUGCAAGUCGAACGAGAAGUACGUAGCAAUACGUAUUGUAAAGUGGCGCACGGGUGAGUAACACGUGGGUAAUCUGCCCUUGAGUUUGGGAUAACCCCGCGAAAGCGGGGCUAAUACCGAAUAAGACCACGGGGACCAAAGUCCCUGAGGUAAAAGGUGGCCUCUAUUUAUAAGCUACCACUUGAGGAUGAGCCCGCGGCCCAUUAGCUAGUUGGCAGGGUAAUGGCCUACCAAGGCAAUGAUGGGUAGCUGGUCUGAGAGGACGAUCAGCCACACUGGAACUGAGACACGGUCCAGACUCCUACGGGAGGCAGCAGUGGGGAAUAUUGCGCAAUGGGCGAAAGCCUGACGCAGCAACGCCGCGUGGGGGAUGAAGGUUUUCGGAUUGUAAACCCCUUUCGAUCGGAACGAAUCUCCUCUUGGUAAAUAAUCAGGAGGAUCGACGGUACCGGGAGAAGAAGCCACGGCUAACUCUGUGCCAGCAGCCGCGGUAAGACAGAGGUGGCGAGCGUUGUUCGGAUUUAUUGGGCGUAAAGCGAACGCAGGUGGUUUGGUAAGUCAGGGGUGAAAGUCCACAGCUUAACUGUGGCACUGCCUUUGAUACUGCCUUUCUUGAGUGCAUGAGGGGGAAGCGGAAUUCCGAGUGUAGAGGUGAAAUUCGUAGAUAUUCGGAGGAACACCGGUGGCGAAGGCGGCUUCCUGGCAUGUAACUGACACUCAUGUUCGAAAGCGUGGGUAGCAAACAGGAUUAGAUACCCUGGUAGUCC
rnacentral:rRNA from 1 species